UAGCAUCGGCGUGCUAGGCUGGCUAGCUCACCGUAGCUCCGCACAUUUGACCCUGCCGACGAAGAUAUCAAGCCGCUGUGGAUGGAAGAUGGCGACACGUAUCCUCCCUGGCGAAUGGGUCAAAAAUUGGGAGAAAUCGGGAAAACACGAUUUUGUACAACUCUGCAAAGGACUAACAGAGAAAAUAGAUCAUGGAUGUCAGAUAAAAGAUAUCCAGUCGGCCUUAUAUGAGCUCUGCUGGCAAGUUGUACAGGGCAACCUCAAGUUGGACCUUGUCGCCAACGUCCUUGGAGAGAUGAUGGAACUCCGAGAAGACAUGCCAUCAAUUUUAGCUGAUGUCUUUAGUGUCCUCGAUUUAGAGACUGUUGCACUGGAGGAAAAACACAAGCGUGACCAUUACAUCCAAUUAGUGGGAGCAUGUCUGAUUUUUCUCCCAGAGGCCAUUUUGAAGGAGCGUCUGGAUCCAGAAACCCUUGAAUCUCUCGGACUUAUCAAACAAGCCCAUCAAUUCAAUCAGAAGAUCGUGAAAAUCAAGACCAAAUUAUUUUACAAGCAACAAAAGUUCAACUUGCUGAGGGAGGAAAAUGAGGGCUAUGCCAAACUAAUCACAGAGCUUGGCCAAGACCUGUCCGGCAACAUCACCAGUCACAUUGUACUAGAAAGUAUCAAGUCUCUCAUAGGAUGUUUCAAUUUAGAUCCUAACCGUGUUCUGGACAUAAUCCUGGAGGUGUAUGAAAGUCGAUCAGAUCAAGAUGAGUUCUUCUUGUCCCUCAUCAAGUCCUACAUGUGCGAGGCACUCACCCUCUGCCACAUCCUUGGCUUUAAAUUCAAAUUUUAUCAGGAACCAAAUGAGGAAACUCCCAAGUCAUUAUACCACAUUGCUGCUGCCCUACUACAUCAUAACCUGAUAGAAUUGGAAGAUCUCUAUGUACAUCUUUUACCGCUAGAUGCCGCCAUUGUUGAGGAACACAAACUAGUUAUUUCAGAGGCCAAACAGAUUGCUCGCAAAUUGGUUAUGGUUGUGGUGCCUUCCGAUAAAAGUGAAGACAAGGAAAAAGAGAAGGAAAAGGAGGAUGAGAAGAUUGAGCAGCCACCUGAUAACCAGAAGCUCGGUCUGCUGGAAGCACUUCUCAGGAUUGGGGACUGGCACCAUGCACAGAGUAUAAUGGACCAGAUGCCUUCCUUCUAUGCUACUUCUCAUAAGUUCAUUGCACUAGCACUCUGUCAGCUGUUACACCUCACAGUGGAUCCUCUGUACCGAGGGGUUGGCCUCCCAAAAGGUGCACGGGGAUGUGUGAUGCAUCCACUAAAGAACAAGCGGGCCCCUAAGCCAGCUGAGAGUUUCGAGGACUUGCGCAGGGAAGCGUUCAGCAUGCUCGGCUACCUAGGACCUCACCUCGCGCAUGACCCCAUCCUCUUCGCCAAGAUUGUGCGUCUGGGCAAGGCAUUCAUGAAAGAGUACCAGAACAGCGAAGGCUCGGAUGUCAAAGACAAAAUGGAAACACUAUUGAGUUGUUUCCUGAGCAUUGCAGACCAGGUGCUCCUCCCUUCCCUCUCGCUGAUGGAGUGUAAUGCGUGCAUGUCUGAGGAGCUCUGGGGUUUCUUUAAGCUCUUCCCCUACCAUCACAGGUACCGCCUGUAUGGACAGUGGAAAAAUGAAACGUAUUCCAGCCACCCCCUGCUGGUCAAAGUUAAAGCUCAUACUGUGGAAGGGGCUCGAUAUAUUAUGAAGCGCUUGACCAAAGAGAACGUGAAACAAUCUGGGAGGCAGAUUGGCAAACUAACCCACAGCAACCCCACCAUUGUUUUUGAUUAUAUGCUGUCACAGAUCCAGUGGUAUGAUAACCUCAUUGUUCCAGUGGUGGAUUCUUUGAAAUACCUCACAUCCCUCAACUACGAUGUCUUGGCCUAUUGCAUUAUGGAAGCUCUGGCCAAUCCCGAGAAGGAGAAGAUGAAGCAUGACGACACCACAAUCUCAUCGUGGCUACAAAGCCUGGCAAGUCUGUGUGGAGCUGUGUUCAGGAAAUAUCCAAUCGACUUGGCCGGCCUCCUUCAGUAUGUCACCAAUCAACUCAAAGCAGGAAAAAGUUUUGACCUGUUGAUCCUCAAGGAAGUGGUGCAGAAAAUGGCCGGCAUCGAGGUUACGGAUGAAAUGACAUCAGAGCAGCUCGAAGCAAUGACAGGAGGGGAACAACUCAAAGCUGAGGGUGGCUACUUUGGUCAGAUUAGGAACACGAAGAAGUCAUCGCAACGUCUUAAGGAUGCUCUGCUUGAUCAUGAACUGGCCCUGCCGCUUUGUGUACUCAUGGUCCAGCAAAGAAAUGGUGUGGUUUUCCUAGAAAGUGGAGAUAAAGAUCUCAAACUAGUCGGCCACCUGUAUGACCAGUGUCAUGACACACUGGUGCAGUUUGGUGGCUUCCUAGCCUCCAACCUCAGCACAGAGGACUACAUCAAGCGCGUUCCCCCCAUUGACGUCCUUUGUAACCAGUUCCAUACUCCACACGACGCUGCCUUCUUUCUUUCUCGCCCAAUGUACGCCCAUCAAAUAUUGUCCAAGUACGAUGAGCUGAAGAAGACGGAGAAAGGUAACCGGCAGCAGCAGAAGGUGCAGAAGUACGUGGCGGCGUGCGAGCAAGUCAUGGCGCCGGUGCACGAGGCUGUGAUGUCCCUCCAUCCAGCCCGGGUUUGGGAAGACCUCCGCCCCCAGUUCUACGCCACCUUUUGGUCGCUCACCAUGUACGACCUCGCCGUGCCCCACGCCGCCUACGAGCGUGAGAUCAACAAGCUCAAGGCCCAGAUCAAGGCCAUUGAUGAGAAUCCAGAAACGCCUAUGAAUAAGAAAAAGAAAGAGAAGGAACGCUGUACUGCACUGCAGGAAAAGCUGCAGGAGGAGGAGAAAAAGCAACUCGAGCACGUCCAGAGGGUGCUCCACCGCCUCAAACUGGAGAAAGACAAGUGGCUGAUGACCAAAUCUACCAAGAAUGAGACCAUCACCAAGUUCCUGCAGCUCUGUCUGUUCCCCCGCUGCAUCUUCUCCUCCAUCGACGCCGUUUACUGCGCCCGCUUUGUCGAGCUGGUUCACCAGCAGAUGACGCCCAACUUUUGCACUCUUCUGUGCUACGACAGGGUUUUCUCAGCCAUCAUUUACACUGUGGCCAGUUGUACAGAGAACGAGUCGCACCGAUAUGGCCGCUUCCUCUGCUGCAUGCUCGAGACGGUGACUCGCUGGCAUAGCGAUCGCGCCGUCUAUGAGAAGGAAUGUGGCAAUUACCCCGGUUUCCUGACUAUUUUGCGAGCGUCGGGAUUUGACGGAGGCCAACAAGCCAAUCCGCUGGAUUAUGAGAACUUCAGGCAUGUGGUGCACAAAUGGCAUUACAUGCUGACAAAGGCUUCAGUUCACUGCCUGGAGACGGGAGAUUACACUCACAUCCGAAACAUCCUUAUCGUUCUCAUCAAAAUCCUGCCAUGUUAUCCCAAGGUUUUGAAUCUGGGCCAAGCGUUGGAGUACCGUGUCCACAAGAUCUGCGUUAAGGAGAAGGAGAAGAGGCCAGAUCUCUAUGCCUUAGCCAUGGGUUAUUCAGGUCGGUUGAAAAGCCAGAAGGUGCGCAUGGUCCCUGAGAAUGAGUUUCACCACAAAGAGCCACCAGCGCGCAAUGCGACUCCUGCCGGUCAGCAGAAUGGACCAGGCAGCACAGGCAAGCCUGCCACAGCCACGAUGAAGGGAGACGACGGGUUGUCCGAUGAUGCUGAUCGGGGAAAGGAUAAAAGUCAGACCAGCAAGCCAGUAAACAAAGCCAACAGUGCAGCAGCUAAAGUAACCACCAGCAAUGGGAAUGGUGCUCUAAACAGCAGCAAAACCAUAAAAGAGCGAGACGACAAGGAGAAGAGUGGCAAGGAGAAAAAAGAGAAAAGGGAAAAGACGCCCGCCAGCACAUCUGAAACAAAGGCGGAGGCUCGCAGAGAAAAGCUGAGAGAAGAGAGAGCAGGCAAGGAUGAGCGGGCGCUUCGCGAGGGUAAGGAGAAGGCACCCAAGGCAGACCGAGACAAAGUCAAGGCUGAGGAGAAGAUGAAAGAUGACAAGGCCAAAGCCGGCAACGGGGAGUCCGUGGAGCCUUCCAGGGAGCGCGAUGCCAUCAAGGAGUCCAAGAGCAAGGAGAAAGGAGACAGGGGCGCUGUGGCCGGCUCGCGCAAGUCACCAGUUCCCAGAUCGGAGUCAGCCGACACUGAGAGGGAUCACAAAAGACGAAAGCUCGACAGUCACUCUUCUCCAUCCCACUCGUCGUCUGUUAAGGUUAGUAUGGCUUGAGGAAGGCUGUGCCCAUUCCUUCUCUAUCUGCCGGAGCGUUCCCCGCCGUUACGCAUUGCAGCACCCCUGAAGAUCACCAAGGAGAGUUUCCCCAAACGCAGCCUGCAUGCCAUCUGGAAAGCCCCACUCAAUCCAGGAGGGCUGGAAAGCUUUCUGUGGACACUGGCAGAAUAUUUUUCCCCCCAAGAUUUGGGAGAAGGACUUAGCAAAGAAAAAUUGUAAAUAUUAAGUAUUUUCAUAGUGAAAUAUGUGUCUAUUUUCCUACUGAUGGAAGUGAUCAGCGUGCCUUGGAAAGAAAACGCCUUUUUGUAUGCAUUUCUAUUAUGCUGUUGGAAUUUUUUCAAAGAGUUUUUUUUUUUACUUUGGAGGAAAUGGCUUGGCAAUUUAUUUUUUCCCCCCCCACCAACCUGAGAGUUUGCAACGUUUCUCCUUUUUUUUUGGGCAAGCCGAGAAGAUUUCAACUAUAAUGAAAGCACAUCGCUUCCUGCCCCGCCCCCUUCGUCAUUGCCAAAUCCAGCAGAGAGCGGGAUGUUGUUCUGCUGACAGAGUGCCUCUUUGCUGGGGCUGAUUCAUCAGCCCCCCUGCCCCCUCUGAUCGCUGUAUGAUCAAUCCCCCCCCCCCCAGCCAUUUGCGAGCUGCAAGUCAUUUGGUCCCGACGGCCUCUGCGGCGCUGCCUCGACGACGACCGCCGCCGCCAUCUGCUACCUCCCGGCAAGCGUUCCACGGAGCCACCGGCAGCUGAGCUCAACAGAGAUGAUGAAUGUCACGGUGUUGAAUCAGCCCAAAAAUGCUGCGGGAAGUAAGCCUGCCUCGACAACAAAGACAGGCUGCAGCCGUGAGGGAACAUCUGGAGCUUUGCCCAAUCUGCGGGGAGCUUGCGAUAGGUCUAUAUUUAACCCUGCGCCCGAGAAAUAGGCUCCCUGUGUCAUAUCCUGAACUGACAAUAGCAACGAGCCCAAGGAGUCCACGUCCAAGCACCACCUCAUCUACAAUUCACUAGCGCGGUCCAAAAGCAGAGAGAGGGAGCUGGACAAGAUCGAUUCCGAGAACGCACUUCUCCGAUGCAAAGAGAA